CGCUCAGCUGCUCGCCCCCCCCCCCGCCCCUGACGAGGCGAUAUUAUUUUUACUUUUCGAGGGGGGAGACGGAUAGAUCAGCGAUUUGGUUUAUCUCUUUCCAGCAGCCUGUUAGUCAACGGAGAAAGAAAAUCCCCGUCAACGCGCCUCUCUGGAGUCCUUGGAUAUGAGCCUGGGGCUUUUCUGGGCCGGCAGCUCAUCCAGCUGAAUCUCGGCUCCCUCCUCCUUCCCUAAAUAAUAAGCUCGCCCAAGCCGCUUUAGCACUGCAGAAUGGUGGGCCGGGACCAUUUUAGUAGCAGCACUAAGAGUGUUUGGGAUACAAUAAAUCCAGUUAAAGCAAAUAAAAGCGCGCUUGAUUUCGAUGCUGGGCGAGAAGAAAGCCUUCAUUUCUGCCCCCCCUCCAGCGAUUCAAAUGGUUUGCUCUGCCUUCCAGCCACGAGCCGUUGGGCGCGAACCACAGAGCCCAUGCUGGGGAGAUGGUUGGAAAAAGGACUCCGCGAACAAAUCAUUUAUAACGCGCACAAAUCAUGUUUAAAUACCAAAUCCUCCCUAAAAUCUUGUCAGUGAACGGGGGGGGGGGGAGCACAAGACGCUCUAAGAUAUUACCCCCCUCCCUUUUGGUUGACAAUGGUACAGCUUUCACAGUCCUGGGGCCGUUGGCUACUACUACCUCUCAAAAUAGGGGGAGCCUCAGACUGUGGCCUUGGCCUCUUCAGCAAUAGGUACCUGAUAGGUGGUGAUGAUACCUGGCUCAGGUAAACUUGUCCUUGCCCGCUAUUUCUUAUUCCAGCUCCAAGCUGGAGCCAAGUGGCGGUGGGCUUUGCUUUUGUUUUAUCGAAUUAGAACUUUACAACAUGAAAGUCUGAGAUGUUUUUCAUCCACGUUUUGGAGGUGAUACGGUUUAUAAUAGCUUUUAGAGAGAAAUGCUGCUUUGUCUAUAUAAAAAAGAAGAAAAAGCUAGAGCAGGAUCUGACAAGAGAAGGGAGAAAUGCAAACAAAACGAUGUGAUUUUUUUAAAAAAGGAAAGCAACACAAACGCAGACUAAAGGACAAUAGGACGCAGGCAAAUGAGGAUAAUAUCCUGGUCACUUGGAAGUGUUCUGCCCAAAGGGGACCCUUUAAAAGGCAAGAGGCAAAUGAUGGCUUUUACUUAUUUAUUUAAAAAUAUUUAUAUACCACUAUAUUAAAAAUCAUAAUGCUUUACAACAAUAUCAAUAUGUACUAAAACACUACACUAAACUUUACAAUCAGAGAACAUCAGUUAUUACAGAAAGAUGAUUUUUGAACUGCUUGCAUAAGCUUGGUGGCACAGACAGGUUUUCAGCAGACAUUCACAGGUAUAAACAGGAGGCACCUGCCCAAUCUCUGCUGGCUGAGCGAUGGGCGUUCCCACAGGACUGGGAUGAGGGCACUAAGGCUCAGUUUCUUGUCGCCAACUUGGGGACCAGUUAACUUUUCUGAAGAUGAUCUCAGGGAUUGAGCUGGGACAUAAGGGUUCAGGUGGUUCCGAAGGGCUUUGUAAAUUAAGAACAAGGUCUUUGCAGCUGGCUGCAUAGACAAUAGACAGCCAGUGCAGAUGUUUUAGCAACAGUUUAGCUAUGUGCUCCCAUCAGCAGUCUAGCCGCCACAUUCUGCGUCAACUAGAGCUUCUAGACUAGGUUCAAGGAGAAUGCAUUGCAGUAAUCCAGUCUCAGUGCAUGGACUAUAUUCCUGUCCAGGAACAGCUGUAGCAGGUGACCCUGACAGACUCUGCCACAGAGGACACUUAGGCAUCUAGUGACAGAGAUGUAUUUGGGAGUACCCAGAAGCUGCAGACCUGCUCCUUCCAAGAGAGUGCAACCCUGUUGAAAAGAGGCAAUGCUGUGGGAUGGGUCUUAAUAGGUAGGAGAGGAUAUCUUAAAUGCAGUUUAUCUCUCCAGGCGCCCACAUGCACGGGUUCUUUUGCUUCCCAAUCAAGAAGGAGGUCGUACAUGCUGGAUAUAAUUUUUCCUUUUGCUAGUAUUAACUUCUCUUCCAAUUUUGAUAUUUCUUUUUGUCUAUCCUUACCCAAUCGUUCAGUAAUUUGAAAAUAUUGGAGCCAAUCAUUUAAGUGCAUUCAGAUGUCUUCAAUUUUUUCCAAUUUUAAUUUAUCAUCUUCCUCUUUUGUAUAUUGCCCAAACAUUUUUCUUUUUUCUUCACAGUCAUGGCUUCUACCAGUGAGGUCCACCAGGGAGUUUUUGGUUCUAACAAGUCUAUAUUUAAGCCAUAUUUUGUACAAUGAUUUUGGAAUUAUAUGGAAAUACCAGGAUGCAUUAUCAAAAGCUUUUUCUGCGUCCACGAACACCAGAGCUGCUAUUUAACAAUUCUAAAUUCAAGAUAUUCUAAUAUGUUAAUAAUGUUCCUGAUGUUAUUCUGUAUUUGUUUUCCUGUGAGGCUAUAGAAGUCCUGAAGACAGUAAUGGACUGGAUGUGGGUAAACAAACAAUAUUAAUUCAGACAAGACAAAUGUUAGUAGAGCUAACCUUGGAACAGAGGUUCAACCAGUAUUGGGUGGGAAUAACACUCCCCUUGCAAAUGCAGAUUUGUAGCAUGGGAAUUUUGCUGAACUUGGAUAUUUAGGUAUCUACUGUGGCCAACUAUUGUAUUUAUUGUUGGAAAAUUCUUUUUAAAAAUUGUGCUUAUUAUUUCAACGUACCUUGUUAGCUGCCAUGGGCUCAUUGAGGAAAGGUGGGGUAUAAAUGUUUUAAAUACAGUACAUAAAUAAAUAAAUAGCAGAAUCCUUA